UCCCUGGUGGCUGAGAGGGUAAAGCGUCUGCCUGCAAUGCUGGAGACCCGGGUUUGAUCCCUAGUUGGGAAG
rnacentral:tRNA from 1 species